ensembl:lncRNA
AGGCUUCAUUUUAAAGCCUCCUUUUUAUUUUAUUAUAUAUUUCAAGCACCCAGUUUUUCAUAGUAUGUAAAAAAUGCCACCAGGAGAACAAUGCUCUAUACAACGUCAAUAUUUUGUGUGUGUGUGUGUGUGUCUGUGUAUGCAUAUGUGUGUGUGUCUGUGUGUGCAUAUGUGUGUGUGUGUGUGUGUGUGUGUGUGUGUGUGUGUGUGUGUGUGGUUAGUAUUGCAUAUAAAUGUAAGCAACCAUGCACCGCUCAAAUUACAUCCAACGGGUCUUUAAUGUAAAUGAUACACCUGCAUGUUGUCCUUUCACACCAUUCUGCCGUCAGACACCGGAUGAUGUGUUGCCAGCGCUCCUCCACCUCACAUACAGGUGUCAACACCACAAAGAUAAUAGCUCUUUCACCACCAAGACAUCUUUUUUUUCAACCAAAAGUUAUAUUUACUUUAUGUGCUCUAUUUAUUUAUUCGUUUCGAUUUUUUUAUGCUUUAUUAUAGAGUGAGAUAGAGAGGAAGGUAGGGGGGAUAGAGGGGAUGACAUGCAGCAAAUGACCACGGGCGGGUUUAAACCCGGGUCACUGUUGUCAGAACUGAGCCUACAUGGUACGCUCUCACCCCAGUAUUGUGCUAUAUUUACCUGGAAAUAUUGACUUGAUUUACAUGUAUAAUACUUACUGUGUGGUUGUUUAGACCGGGAAUGAGUGAGGUGUUUAGUGGCUCAGGCCAGUUUAUUGACCAAUUAGAUAAAUAAAGUGCCCUCUUAAAAGGUCUAAUUGCGUUUCAUCUUUCUGUUUCAUCUGUCUACACGGAUAGCCUUGGUCGCGUUCAACAUGUGGAUUAAAUUAGCAAGCUUUUAGCGUGUAGCGAUAGGCAAGCCGGGUAGCAGGGGUUUGCUUUUCAUAUGAGCCCUGCAGAAGCACGCAAUAAUUACUAGCAAGACAAACGUAAUUAUUGAAAAUGUAUCUUUAGUAAAGGGGGUCGAGAUAAAGUUGCUAAGUAAAAUAAAUUGACCCUAUACCUGUUGCCGUGCAAACUCGAUGACAGAGGUCCAGAAACAUGCAAAUCCGACACACAGGCAUUUUAAGGCAAAGCGUGAGGCUCCACAGAGAAAUAUCUCAAGUUAUUACGGAUGGAACUUUGGGGGUGAUAGCAACUAUUUUUUUAUUUUAUAAGUGUCUUUUCUUUCCAGCAGAGUGGCCCAUUAUGCCAUUAUGAUGAGUCUUCAUUGACAGACAGACAGACAGACAGAUAGUGAGAAUGAGCGUGAGAGAGAGAGAGAGAGAGAGAGAGAGAGAGAGAGAGAGAGAGAGAGAGAGAGAGAGAGAGAGAGAGAGAGAGAGAGAGAGAGAGAGAGAGAGAGAGAGAGAGAGAGGAAGAGAGAGUGUCUCUCUUUCUCUAAUAGCGUUGAAAGCCAUUAAUGUCUAUCAUCAGAAUCUGGUUCUUCAUCAAGUACAAUGAAUGGAUCUUGGCACAAUGUUCCCCUAAUGGACUCCAAAUCCAAUCCAGCACAUUCAGAGAGAGUAACAAACACAAAAGGACUUAUUUCCCGUCUGGUACAGCCCCUGGAGAUGAACAGUGGUCAACAACAACGAGCAGAGUCACCAAUCAGAAGACAGAAAUGUAUCCUUCCACCAUGCCUCACGGUCAGCUCAAUUCCCUAUUUCAUCAAACAAAAUGGUAAACAUGGAACACUGUUGUCAAUCACUGAUUAUCGAUCAACCGAGGACAUUCUUUGAAGUUGACGUUUAAACCAGACAUAGUGUCACACAGUCUCCCACCGGCGAUCGGCACUACUGGCCAGGGGUUCUCCUGGGUUUGGAAGCAGUAUGGCCCUCCUGGUCAAACAGAGCCAGUCCCCCCCCAUCGGCCCGAGUGUCCUGGGGCCCUCAGAGGGACGAGUGCUCGAACAGGAUGACCUGCGUGUGGCCGGAGAGGCUGGAGAGCCGGGCGGGCCUGAAGGCCCCGAUGCGGGCGUACACCUCGGCCACGUCGGAGCCCGCGCCCCAGGACGAGUGGGGGCUGGGCGGGGUGGCGUGGCGUGCGGGCGGGGUCAGGUACGGAGGCGUGGAGGAGUGAGGCCGAGGGGCCUCGGGGGAAGGCCGAGGGCGGAGGAUGAGAGGAGGAGGGGGUGUAGGAGGAGUACGGAGGACGACCGGCGGUGGGGGCAAGGGGAGAAGGGGUAGAGGAGGAGGAGGAGAAGGAGGAGGAGGAGGAGGAGGAGGAGGAGGAGUGGACGCCGGUGGAGAUGGGAGGAUAAAGGUGGAUGUUGGCGGCGGUGUCAUGGUUUGAAUGGGUGCGUGAACAUCCGGUGUGUUGCCGUUGUGGCCGGGUGGAGCUGGGGCCGGCGGGGGAUGUUUGAGGGUGUAGCCGGCGGCGUGGUAGAAGCGGUAGUAUUCCAGAGAGGGCCUGCUGCGGGCCAUCUGUAACCUAAAGCCGACACACAGUACCAUUAGCAGCUACAACAACAACAACAACAACAACAAUAACAGCAACACCACACAAAAUUGUGACAUCACAAUGUGGUAGUGUCCAUUUGGCUUAAAGGUGACAUAUUAUACCACCAGGUGUGAGUGUGAUUAGCCGUUACAAGCUGAUUUGAAAUCUGCCUCUUCUGACAUCACAAGUGGGCGUGUCCACCUCGAUGUAUGAUGGAAGAAGGGGCCGAUGUUCAAAAUGGCUUGUGACGGCUUAUCACACUCACACCUGGUGUUAUAACAUGUCAUCUUUAAAGGAGUUGAUUGGUGGACGCUAUCAACUGGUGAUGGACACCAGUUUUAGGACGCUCGGAUGUCAUCAUCCAUUCGACAGGGACACUCGCACUUGCGAUGUCAAAAAACGGAUGACUGAUUCGAACUAGCGACCUUGCGGUGGCCAGCUCUACCUCCUGCGCUACAUGCCGCAGUGGGAUACGACAAUAAGACCAUCCUCUUUUGUGUCACCUGUGCCUCAGCCGUAGCAGUCUGUACAACAGCAACAGGAUCAGCGCUCCAGCGACGGUCAGCAGGAGCACGGCCACCUUCAGGUCCAGGCUCCAGCAGGGUCUGUAGGGCCCCGGGGGGCCACAGGCCCCCGGGGGCUGCGGGGCCUGGGUCUGCGUGGCCCCGGCGGCCACUCCCCUCUUGGGGUUGAUGAUGGGACUUGGAUCCGGAACGGGGACCGGGAGAGAGUUGGUGGGAUCUGGCCGGGGUGGGGUCAGGAGGGGGACGCUGCUGCUGGUCACCUCGCGGUGAGCCGCCAUCUUUGUAGUUUUAGAGGAUGACGUGUUGUUUAUCGGGAGAGGCGUGGGCAGGAAUGCGCGUGAAGCCAGGAGCCCAAAGGCUCACCUCCCUGGUCCUCGGGUCCGUAGGACAUGUUGGCUGAACCUAAGAGUUUUGGCAGUUUGACACAAGAAGAAAAUACAAACACGUAAGCCGUUAUGUGAUGUUUUAUAAACUGAAGAUCAUUCGAGACACUAAAUCUCAAGCAAACCUGGAAGUUUCCGCUUGAAAAUGUCGUCAUGGAGCUUCAAUUACACUAUAUUUAAAUGAUAAAGGGUCGAAACUUACCUUCUUAGAAAUUCACUGGUGAAAGUAAAUUGUAUAGUUGGUAAAUAAUUGCCGAAAAUGUUCAAUGAAUAUGGCAGCAGGUUGCUCUGAAGCUUCCCAAGACCAAGUGAAACAUUUGGG